AGGGCGCAAGCGUUUUGCGGAAUCACUGGGCGUAAAGCGCGUGUAGGCGGUUUGUUAAGUCAGGGGUGAAAUCCCGGAGCUCAACUCCGGAACUGCCUUUGAUACUGGCAAGCUAGAGUCCGGAAGAGGUGAGUGGAACUCCUAGUGUAGAGGUGGAAUUCGUAGAUAUUAGGAAGAACACCAGUGGCGAAGGCGGCUCACUGGUCCGGUACUGACGCUGAGGUGCGAAAGCGUGGGGAGC
rnacentral:rRNA from 1 species